AUCUAGCCGACGAGUCCCAAAUAGGACGAAACGCGCGUCCUGGAU
rfam:Schistosoma haematobium scaffold1225_6, whole genome shotgun sequence.